GGAACAGUGGCCGAGCGGCUGAAGGCGGCGGUCUUGAAAACCGCAGACGCUGAAAGGCGUUCGUAGGUUCGAAUCCUACCUGUUCCG
rnacentral:tRNA from 1 species